rnacentral:miRNA from 1 species
GAUGGGUUAUCUCAAAGUGGACUU